ensembl:lncRNA
CGGUCCUCUAUGGCCUCUGCGUGCGAGGGGCUUGGGACGGGCGGCGUGCACGGCGGUGCGCCGGCUGGGAGGGCUCGGGAAAGGGGAAAUAGCAGCCAAGGUGAGAAAGGAGCGUACGGAAAGGGUGGCAGGGCUGGCUGGUCCUCACCAGAUAGGUGAGACUAUGCAAGAUAAUCGUUGUCAGCUUAACGGAGAUGAGAACUAGGGGAAAAGUUUGCCUCUCUCUGAUUUCUAUAGCAAUUACAAUUAUAUACUGUAUAUUUCCAUCAUACCUCCACACCAUAAAAACCACAGAACAACUGUCAGGGUGAUACAGACAUUUACUAUAGUCAACAUAAGAUGCACGAAUUAAGGAGUAGAUUAAAGUCCUACUAACUUUUUUUUUUUCCUUCACAAGAUCCCAAUUAAAUUAAACCUAAAAAGAUAUUAAAACAUAAUGUAAUGCUAAAAUGGGAUGGAAAGUACCGCAGUAAUAGCAGGGCAGCAGUCUCCAGCUACAGCAAAUGAGAGCAAACCCAAGUACAGCAGCUACAGAAAUGAAGGAAAAGAGCCACUUACCUUUAGAAGGCCUCAGGUAUGCAAGGAUCCCCAGCAAAAAAACCCCUCACCUCCACUGCCAACCCUUAAAUGAGGUCUGGGAAGGUGUGGAUCCUGGCUCCACCUCUUCCAGACAUUCAGGUGCACUGCACUGCACUCGUGCUCCCCUGGGUUUGCCCUGCCUUCCACCAGGUGCUCAAUCACUGCUUGAGGUUGUGACACGUAUAAAUGGAACUGCUUUGUUUUCAGUGAAAAAAGGGUGUGAUAGAAGUAACCCUAGAAGAAGGUAACAAUAUGCUAAGGAAAUAGCUAUUCUGGGGCACUUCAUUCCUCGUGUAGAUAGGUUGUUGAGAUAACGGAGGCACAGAUAGUCUCACAGUAGACUUCUCCAUGGAGUUUCCUGUAGCCUGUGUUUCUCAGUUUCUGCUUCGUAUUGAAGUAGCUUAUCUAAUGCAACUUUCUGUGUUUCAAGACUGCAUGAAGUCUGCAACACAAGCAUGCUGAAAUUGCAUCAGUCUGACAAAAGCAAGGUGGUAGAUAAAAAACAUCUAUUUGUAUUUGAGCUUGCAAGCUAGCAAGUACCUGCAGUGUUUCUUUUCGUAUUCUUUUUUUGCAUAUUCUGCUCUUAAGGCAUGCUAUUGUUCCUUAGUGGGUGUGUUCUGUAACAUAAAACAACUGAAAAUACAGUCUCCUUGGAGCUUACAUAAACCACUAGCAUCCCCCUGGAGAGCAUAUUUUGGGAAGCUCUUAAAUGAAGUGUUCUGCUGGGAGCGUGGCAGUGGUGCUUCUGUACCAACUGACCGUGGCUGAUGAAGUGUGAAAACUGAUGCCUUCUCCUGUGUCAGCAACAUUCAAUUGGCAGGACUGGGGAAGAGCAAUAGGGAACAAGCUGUCAUUUUUUUCAAGUAUGCAUUCAGAGUGAUAGCAAAUCAUAAUUUGGUUUAGAAUUGUUGAGUCUUAUACAAACAAAAUUCCCUGCUAGAUAAUUCUUAAAAUAGUAUUUUUUAGGUCUUAUUAUUGCCUGAGGUUGUUUGGUGUUGUCACAUCCUGAAUAGGCAAUUCUAAAACAGCACAGGAAUGUUAUAAUUUAUUUAUUAAAAAAUGUACUUGUUGCUAAGCUUCACUCAGUGUUUUGCAAGGCAAUUACAAUUCACAUUUUGCCUCUAUAUUUAUUAUGAAGUUACUAAGCUGGAAAAACAACAACGAAAACCAAACUGAGUCUGUAUUUAGCAAAUAGAGUUAAAAGGUAAUAAUCUUUGAUGUAUAACUAUGCUUUCCAUGUCAGUUGAUUUUUUUUCCCCAAAUGUAUUUAUAUUACUUGAUUUGAUGUCUCCUUUUUGGUGGCUCUUGUUUCUUCUUCUGUCUUACUUAGUUUAAAGAAAAAAAAAUCAUAUUUUCCAAGUGGUGUAAAUGUUGUGUCAUCUUUAACUUAGGAAGAAGUAGCUUCUGAUAUGCCUCUAUCUUAAUGAUUUCUUUGUUGUGGCUGAAGUCACUGGUGAAUUCUUUCCUCUGCCAACAUUUUUAAUGAUUAGAAUACAUCAGUUUUGGAAGAGACUGCCAGUUCUUAACUCCUAGAAAUAAUCCCUUAUUUUAUCAGUGUUGUUCACCCAAACAGAUAAACCAAUUAAGUAUGAGAAUAGGUAGAAUCAAGACCCAGGGUUAGGUCACAUUAAAUCCUAUUUUACAGCCAUUGCUUACUAUAUAGAUGCAUGCCCAAGCACUUGCAGUGGGAUGUGUUGACUUCUGUGUGGAAGUCAGUGCAUAUGAGAAGAUCAUUAGGACUGCAAAGAGCCACACACAAGUUACCAAACACCAGCAUUAAGGUUAAUUCUGUGCAGCGUAAUGUCCUUUGGUGCACGCAUUGCAAUCACUUAGAAUGCUGUAUGAUGGUGGAUCCUCCCACUCCAGAAGGUCACCCCUGCGAAUGAGACUGUUCCCUUUGUCCCUCACCUUCAGCCCUGUUGCAGUUCUCAGCUUUCUCCAGAUCCUCCAGCUACCCAUCUCCUUCUCCAGUGAGCCAGGACAAGGCAUUCUGGCACUCAGUACCUCUUCCUUCCUUCUCCUGCUUGGAUCCUCCCUGUUACUGCUCCUUUUUUUGCUCACCACCUGCCGUGGACCGCUCAUCACAGGAGGCCUGAAAGGACUGCUGUCUCCCUUGAACAGAAUCGUUGUGGCUUUCUUUAUUUUUCUUUAACAACCAUUGGGGGGUUCUUCUUUCACUGCUAUUGCUGUGCACAGUGAUGGGUCGCUGUGGGUAGAGGAAGAACGUCGCCGCUCUGGCUCUGCUGCUUGACUUUUGUCACAAUAGGGCACAAUGCCUGUUGUGAACAGGGGAGUAAGAUCUGAGAGAAAUUGAUUCUCCAAACAAACUUUUCAGAGGCGUAGCAAUAGCAUCAUUUGAGCUAUUUUAUUUUUUAAUUGGGAAUCUGUUCUCCCCUUUUGAUUCCUCUACAGAAGUUCGGAUCAGCUGUGAAAUAAGACGACAUUUGGACUUCCUGAAGGAGAGGGUCCUUUCCCUUCACAUUAACAAGGAGUCAGGACGUGAGGCCUGCACCUGUCUUCACAUUUCUGGGAGAAGUGACUGAAGUUCAGACAGUGAACAAGUAAUUGAGAACAAGCAUCAGAUAAACCCAGAAGCUGUGCUGCACCUUUGGGAAGACAUUCUGAUGCACUGAAAGACUUCACUCAUUGGUGUACCUAGAGAAGCUUUCCCUAUGUACCUUGGGGAAGGAAGAAGCCUGACCUUCAUUCACAAAUGAAUCAUUGUUGAAGUACCUGGAGCAAUACUUCAAGAGAAAAAUAACUUUAAGCACACAGGAGUUGCAGUUGCCAUGGAUAUGUGUAGUCAAUGGAAGAUGUAUGGGAACAGUUGAGUCAUGGCCUGAACCACUGAUUGAUCACCUGAGGCAAGCACUGAGUCAGCCCUGGGAGCACAGGUGAAGGCAAUUCAGCUGUGUGACCUGAAGGGGUGGAGCCUGGCUGCAUCCCUCCUAGACUGCAUUGAAGGGCUGACUGCCAGUGGGGAAUGAUUUCUUCCUGGAGAUCCCUCUCUUUGGAGUUUUCUACUGUGAGCCUAUGAUACGGG